UACGGAGGGGGCUAGCGUUGUUCGGAAUCACUGGGCGUAAAGCGCACGUAGGCGGACUCUUAAGUCGGGGGUGAAAUCCUGGAGCUCAACUCCAGAACUGCCUUCGAUACUGGGAGUCUUGAGUUCGGGAGAGGUGAGUGGAACUGCGAGUGUAGAGGUGAAAUUCGUAGAUAUUCGCAAGAACACCAGUGGCGAAGGCGGCUCACUGGCCCGAUACUGACGCUGAGGCACGAAAGCGUGGGGAGCAAACAGG
rnacentral:rRNA from 1 species